rnacentral:rRNA from 1 species
UACGUAGGGGGCCAGCGUUGUCCGGAUUUACUGGGCGUAAAGAGCGUGUAGGCGGCCAAGCAGGUCCGUUGUGAAAACUGGAGGCUUAACCUCCAGACGUCGACGGAAACCGCGUGGCUAGAGUCCGGAAGAGGAGAGUGGAAUUCCUGGUGUAGCGGUGAAAUGCGCAGAUAUCAGGAAGAACACCAAUGGCGAAGGCAGCUCUCUGGGACGGUACUGACGCUGAGACGCGAAAGCGUGGGGAGCGAACAGG